rnacentral:tRNA from 1 species
GCUGGGAUGGCGAAAUUGGCAAACGCACUGGGUUUAGGACCCAGCGGGGCAACCCUUGAGAGUUCGAAUCUCUCUCCCAGCA